CUAAUGUGACUUGGCAUAGGAGGCUACUUCCUGUGGUGCACUCAAGAUGUUUAUAAACACAUUGAAAACGCGUGGAUUUAAAGGUAGCCCUGUUUGCAGAUGGAAAAAGUCAGAAAAUUCCGUGUAGGUACCCUGUUAUUUGGUGUCAGCUAAUGUGACAGGGCAUAGGAGGCUACUUUCUGUGGUGCACUCAAGAUGCUUAUAAACACAUUGAAAACACGUGAAUUUGAGGGUAGCCCUGUUUGCAGAUGGAUACAGUCAGAAAAUGCCGUGUAGGUACCCUGUUAUUUGGUGUCAGCUAAUGUGACAGGUAAUGUUUAACACCUCCUUGUGAAUAUUUUUUCAUGAAUUCAAAUAUCUGAUUUUUUACGAUUUUUUAUGCUAUAUAGAAUUAUAUAGUGAAAACAAUUGCCGGUGUGAUAC